rnacentral:rRNA from 1 species
AUGACAAGCACUUUGAAAAGAGAGUGAAAAGAACCUGAAACCGUCAUGGGGGAAGCGAAUUGCGUUGGUGAGAGUGUUGCCGUGUGUUCAGCCGAUAUUUUGUUGGUGCAUUGACACGGAGAGCCUUGUCUGUCGUGGGUUUGGAGUGGGCGAGAUUUGUAUCCACUCUGGGCUGAGGGAUCCCUUUUAUAGGUGAGGACGAUGGAAGGACGACGCGAUUCGACCCGUCUUGAAACACGGACCAAGGAGUCUAGCGCGGUUGCGAGUCGUAGGGUGCAAGCCUGAGGGCGUAGUGAAAGCGAAUCGUUGAAAACGAGCUGUUUGAGGCGGCAUGAGAUCGUUGAUUUCAAGUCUGACCUAGAGCAAUCGCGCUGGGACCCGAAAGAUGGUGAACUAUGCCCGAGUAGGGCAAAGCCAGAGGAAACUCUGGUGGAGGCUCGUAGCGGUGCUGACGUGCAAAUCGCUCGUCAAACUCAGGUAUAGGGGCGAAAGACUAAUCGAACCAUCUAGUAGCUGGUUCCCUC